AGUUUCGAGAUGUUUCCCCUCCACGAGGCAAGCCUGUUUGGAAUGAUGCUCGAACCAAAACAGAUGCUUGCACAGGUUCCCUCCGGAGAUUCAGAGCGAGUCUGAAUCACAGGCCUGUGCAAUCCACACUGAGCAAAAGGGCCCCUUUUGCAUCUCGGACAAUGAGUGCCAGUAUAAGCGGGCACGGGUUUAAAAAUGAACAUAGGGAUACAUUCCCACAGUACAGCUCUCUUAAUGACCCACAUCUGUUUGAUUACUACGCCCGGAGAUUUGGGUUACAAGUCACCCCCCGACCUCCUUUAUCUGCCAAGCGCCCAAAAAGUGCACCACUUCACAGAUUUCAGAGCUCGCAAGCAAGCAUCACCAGGUCAGAGUCUGCGACAGGCGGCAAAGU